rnacentral:rRNA from 1 species
UGAGGAAUUUUGCGCAAUGGGGGGAACCCUGACGCAGCAACGCCGCGUGGGUGAUGAAGGCCUUCGGGUCGUAAAGCCCUGUCGGGCGGGAAGAACGUCCCUUCGGGGAAUGACGGUACCGCCAGAGGAAGCACCGGCUAACUCCGUGCCAGCCGCCGCGGUAAUACGGAGGGUGCAAGCGUUAUUCGGAAUUACUGGGCGUAAAGGGCGUGCAGGCGGGAGAGCAAGUCGGAGGUGAAAGCCCGGGGCUUAACCCCGGAAGGGCAUUGGAAACUGCUUUUCUUGAGUGCUGGAGAGGAAGGGAGAAUUCCCGGUGUAGAGGUGAAAUUCGUAGAGAUCGGGAGGAACAUCAGUGGCGAAGGCGCCCUUCUGGACAGCAACUGACGCUGAGACGCGAAAGCGUGGGGAGCAAACA